CACGUAGGGCGCGAGCGUUGUCCGGAAUUAUUGGGCGUAAAGAGCUCGUAGGCGGCCUGUUGCGUCCGCUGUGAAAGCCCGGGGCUUAACCCCGGGUCGGCAGUGGAUACGGGCAGGCUAGAGGUAGGUAGGGGAGAAUGGAAUUCCUGGUGUAGCGGUGAAAUGCGCAGAUAUCAGGAGGAACACCGGUGGCGAAGGCGGGUCUCUGGGCAGUAACUGACGCUGAGGAGCGAAAGCGUGGGGAGCGAACAGG
rnacentral:rRNA from 1 species